GGAUGCAAGGACGAUCUGGCUGUGACAUCUGCCACCCUAUUGAUCACCGGAGGUAAUAGGAACGAGCUGGCUGGCAAGGUGGCUGUUCCCUUUCCCUCGCCAGUCCUUACGUGUCCAUCAAAAAGCUAUGCUCUCGAUCAGCGAAGAGGAUACCCUUCUCUGAAUUGAGGAGGACCGGUCUUCGAUCAAGGGUCUACAAGUAGCUGUCUCUCCUGCUAGAACCCCCAAACAAGCCCUCAGAGUCAUUUUCUUUAAAACCCCAUAUGUCCAGAGAUCCCGUCAGUAGCAUCUCCAGCGUCUGAGUUCUGAAGGCUGUGGCCAUAGGAA
rnacentral:snRNA from 1 species